AUCUGGCUAGCUUAGUUGGUAGGGCAUGCGACUCUUGAUCUCAGAGUUGUGAGUUCAAGCCUCACGUUAGGCA
rnacentral:tRNA from 1 species